UCCUGGUUGAUCCUGCCAGUAGUCAUAUGCUUGUCUCAAAGACUAAGCCAUGCACGUCUAAGUACAAACUAAAUGAUGGUGAAACUGCAAAUGGCUCAUUACAACGGUUAUGAUGUACCCGGGAGUUCCGAUGGAUAUUUCCAGUAACACUAGAACUAAUACAUGUCCCUGCGUUUAUUAGUUUCACACAGUCCGUCGCUGAGUCAUGGUAAACAGUUGAUCGACUCGACGUCCCGGAACAGUUUCCGCCCCAUCAGCUUCGAUGGUUGGGUAUUGGCCUACCAUUGCAACAACGGGUAACGAGGAAUUAGGGUUUGAUUUCGGAGAGGGAGCCUGAGAAACGGCUACCACAUCUACGGAUGGCAGCAGGCGCGCAAAUUACCCAAUGCAGACACUGUGAGGUAGUGACGAGAAAUAAUAAAGCGGGACUUCUGUUUCGCUAUUAUAAUGAGUAACAACCAAAGGUCGUUACGAUUAGCAACUGAUGGGAAAGUCUGGUGCCAGCAGCCGCGGUAAUACCAGCGUCAGUAGCAUAUAUUAAAAUUGUUGCAGUUAAAACGUCCGUAGUCUGUACGUCGUCCCAAACUCACUGCAGUCUUGCGUCUUCUUCACUGAAUGCGCAAGUAUCUGCAGUCACUCCCUUGAUCAAAUUAGGUUGUUCAAGGUAGACAGAGUCUUCAUAUUUUCACAUGGAAUUGGGUGAGGGAACUUAAGAGUUUAAGUUUCUCGUCUUAGGAUCAUCCGGGGUCAUUCGUACUCGUCCGCGAGAGGUGGAAUUCUUGGACCGGACGAAGACGACCAGCAGCGAAAGCAUCUGUCAGGGAUGUUUUCUGCGACAAAGGACGAAGGUCAGGGUAUCGAAGACGAUUAGAUACCGUCGUAGUCCUGACUGUAAACUAUGCCAACUUGGGUCUUGCUGGGCUAAUGCUUUGUGAGACCCACACAGAAAUGAAAGUGUAUGGGUUCUGGGGGUAGUAUGGACACAAGUCUGAAACUUGAAGGAAUUGACGGAAGAGCACCAUAAGACGUGGAGCUUGCGGCUUAAUUUGACUCAACGCGGGAAAACUUACCAGGUCAAGACAUGGGCGUGAUUGACAGGCUAAUGACUUUUCUCGAUUCCAUGGAUGGUGGUGCAUGGUCGCACUUAGUUGGUGCAGUGAUUUGUUAGGUUAUUCCGGUAACGAACGAGACCUC
rnacentral:rRNA from 1 species